rnacentral:rRNA from 1 species
CCUACGGGUGGCAGCAGUGAGGAAUAUUGGUCAAUGGGCGAGAGCCUGAACCAGCUAAGUCGCGUGAGGGAGUACUGCCCUAUGGGUUGUAAACCUCUUUUGUCGGGGAGCAAAAGCCGGACGUGUUCGGCUGUGAGAGUACCCGAAGUAAAAGCAUAGGCUAACUCCGUGUCAGCAGCAGCGGUAAUACGGAGGAUGCGAGCGUUAUCCGGAUUUAUUGGUGUUAAAGGGUGCGCAGGCGGAUUUUUAAGUCCAGGGUCAAAUCGUGGGGCUCAACCCCAUCCAGCCGUUGAAACUGGGAAUCUAGAGUGUGCGAGAGGGAUGCGGAAUGCGUGGUGUAGCGGUGAAAUGCAUAGAUAUCACGCAGAACCCCGAUUGCGAAGGCAGCAUACCGGUGCACAACUGACGCUCAGGCACGAAAGCGUGGGUAUCGAACAGGAUUAGAUACCCGGGUAGUC